UACGUAGGGGGCAAGCGUUAUCCGGAAUCACUGGGCGUAAAGCGCACGUAGGCGGGUCUUUAAGUCAGGGGUGAAAUCCUGGAGCUCAACUCCAGAACUGCCUUUGAUACUGAGGAUCUUGAGUUCGGGAGAGGUGAGUGGAACUGCGAGUGUAGAGGUGAAAUUCGUAGAUAUUCGCAAGAACACCAGUGGCGAAGGCGGCUCACUGGCCCGAUACUGACGCUGAGGCACGAAAGCGUGGGGAGCAAACAGG
rnacentral:rRNA from 1 species